rnacentral:lncRNA from 1 species
CUCACUAAGUAAUGUGUUUCAGUAAGGGUAAAUUAGAGAAAGUGAAUUGAAAUCUGAGGUGAGUAAAAGAGUCUAGGUUUGGGGAAAUUGUGGUGUGCGAAUUUGGGGAAAUAGGGUUCGUGGUGGUCGGGAAUUGGGGAACAGCGGUGAGCGGUGAGCGGUGCUUAAAUCAGAGAUUUGGCUGACAAAAAGGCACGUUUUGGGAGAUAAUCAUCAACAAUCGGUGGUUUUGUCGUGGAAAGGUGUGAAGAAUUUGGUUGCACUUCAAGCUUCAAGCACGUGUUGAGGUUAGGUUAUCGUUAUUUUUGGAUAAUGUCGCAUGUAAAAUUGUAUUGUAACUUUCGAUAUUGGUCCCCCCAUGUCUGN